UCCUAUAAAGGCUUUUGCUUCAAACCAGGUAUAUAAAUAAAGCAGAAGUUUGAGUUCUGUUAUAUUUAUUUAUAUAUGUUCCAUAUUUGAUAACUAUAUAUCUUUCAUUUUAGUUGUAGUAGUUUUUGACAUAUUAACUUUAUCUAUUUCCUAUAAUUUCAUAGAUAAUAUAUUGUAUAGAACUUAUUUGGUGGAACCAUGAUGAACCAAGCCAAGUUGGAGAUGACCGAAAACAGGAUCAGAC
rnacentral:lncRNA from 1 species